GUGCCGGUCUCGCUACACCAAGAACAUAAGGGUAACUCGAAGGCAGCAAGGAAGGCGCGAGCUGCCUCCAGCAUGGAGGCUCGGCCGGGGCCGUGUGCUGAGGGGAAAGUGUGCAUCCUGAGAGCAAGAACCGUGAGUGCACGGGGCGCUCACCACCGGACAGAGCCUGCCUGAGCACUUGUCUCUGACUCCACUCACAAGGUGUUUCGAGAUUAGGCAACUGAAGCACAGAGAGGGGAGGCCACUUGCCAAGGUCAUGCGGGCAGGGGAUCUCUGUGAACACUCAAAUCAAGUCCAGACUUGAAAGGGCCUCCUCGUAGCCCAGAAAUAGACCCACAUGGACAUGGUCAACUAAUCUUUGACAAGGGCACCAAGAAUGCACAAUGGAGAAAGGACAGUCUCUUCAAUAAAUGGUGCUGGGAAAACUGGAAAGCCACAUGCAAAAGAAUGAAACUGGAUCCCUAUCUCACACCAUACACAAAAAUGAACUUGAAAUGGAUUAAAGACUUAAAUGUAAGUAAAACUCCUACAGGAAGACAUAGGGAAAAUGCUCAUUGACUUUGGGCUUGGCAAUGAUUUUUUGGAUAAGACAUCAAAAGCAUAGAAGACAAAAGCGAAAAUAAACAGGAAGGACUAUAUCAAACUCAAAAGCUUCUGCACAGCAAAGGAAACCAUCAACAAAACGAAAAGACAACCUCUAGAAUGGGAGAAGAUAUUUGCAGACCAUACAUCUGAUAAGAAGUUAAUAUCCAAAAUAUAUAAAGACCUCAUACAACUCAACAGCAAAAAAACCAAAUAAUCCAAUCAAAACAUGGGCAGAGGCCAAAAGAGACAUUUUUCCAAAGAAGACAUACAGAUGACCAACAGGUGGAUGCAAAGGUGCUCGACAUCACUGAUCGUGAGGGAAAUGCAAAUCCAAACUGCACUGAGAUCUGACCUCAGACCUGUCGGAAAGGCUGUGAGCAGAAAGACGAGAGACAAUGAAUGUUCGUGAGGACGUGGAGAAGAGGAAAUCCUGUGCGCUGUUGGUGGGAAUGUAAAUUGGUGUAGCCCCUAUGGAAAAGAGUAUGGAGGGUCCUCAAAGAAUUAGAAAUAGAACUAGUGCAUGAUCCAGCAAUUCCACUUCUGGGGAUUUAUCCGGAGGAAAUGAAAUCAAUAUGUUGAAGACAUGUCUGCUCUUCCACAUCUAUUGCAGCAUUAUUCCCAAAAACCAAGGUAUGGAAGCAACCUAAGAGUCCUUAGAUGGAUGAACGGAUAAACAAAAUGUCAUAUUAUAUAUACACACACACACACACAACUGAAAAAUAUUAUUCCACCUUAUAAAGAAGGAAAUCCUGCCGUUUGUGACAACAUGGUGGAGCUGGAGGACGUUACGCUAAGUGAGAUAAACACAGAAAGGCAAACACUGUAUGAUCUCACUUAUGUGGAAUUUUGGGGGAGAUGUUGUUUGAAGGGUACAAACUUCCAGUUGUGAUGAAUAAGCUAUGAGGAACUAAUGCACAGCUUGAUGGCUAUACUUAAUAAUACUGUAUUAUGUUCUUGAAAUUUAAGAGAGUAGAUCUUAAGUGCUCUCACCACACACACACACAAAGGUAACUGUGUGAGGUGACGGACACGGUAACAUGACUGUCGUAAAUAUUUCACAAUGUGUAUGUGUAUCAAAUCCUCACAUUGUACACUUUAGGUAUAUAGAAUUUUAUUUGUCGAUUAUACCUCAAUAAAGCUGGAGAAGAAUAAAGAACAAAGGUAUAUAAGAUUAGAAAGAAGAAAAGAGAUAGAAUCACAGGUAUGUAAGACAUUUAAAACAAGAAAUCAUUAAAUGCAAUUGUAUGGCAACACUUUUUUUUCUUUUAAAGGUUUAGGGUUUUUUUUCGUGAGGAAGAUUGGCCCUGAGCUAACAUCUGUUGCCAAACUUCCUCUUUUUUUUCCUCCCCAAAGCCCCAGGACAUAUUUGCGUAUCCUAGUUGUAAGGCCUUCUAGCUCUUCUGUGUGGUGGUAGGACGCCACCACAGCAUGGCUUGACGAGCAGUGUGUAGGUCUGUGCCCGGGAUCUGAACCGGCAAACACCAGGCCACCGAAGUGGAGCACAAGUACUUAACCACUCAGCCAUGGGGCCGGCCCCUGGCAACACUUUUGAAAAUGUGCAGAAAAUAGGUGAUUUCCUUUCAGAAUAUAAAUUGGUGAAGUUCAUCCCAGGAUAAAUAGGUAACUAACAAGGUACAAUUGCUGUGAUCAAGAUCAGAAAUGUCAUUAAAGAUUUAGUAAGACGGAAUUCUUAGCUUUGACUGCAUGUUCGAAUCACUUGGGGAAUUUAAAAAAUUCCUGAGACCAUGGCAAUGAAAGAUGGUGCAGCUGCUGUGGAAAAGAGCUUGGUGGGUACUCAGUAAGGUAAACACAGAGUUACUGUAUGACCCAGCAAUUCUACUCUUUGGAAUAUACCUAAAAGAUUUGAAAACAGCUGUUCAAACAAAAGCUUGUACGCAGUGUUUGUAGUAGCACUAUUCACAAUAGCCAAAAGGUGGAAACAACCUAAAGGUCUAGCAGCAGCUGAAUGACAAACAGAAUGUGAUAUACCGCACAGUGGAGCACUGCUCAGCCGCGAAAAGGAAGGGAGUACUGAUACACACUGCAACGCGAAUGAACCUUGAAAGCAUCCUGCCGAGUGGAAGAAGGUAGUCACCAAAAGCCACUUAGCAGUCCAUUUAUAUGAAAUGUCCGGGGCAGAUAAAUCCACAGACAGAGAAAGUAGAUUAGUGGUGGCAAGGGCUAGGGGGUGGGGAAAGUAAGUGACUGCUGAUGGGUAUGGGGUUUCCUUUGGGGUGAGGAAAACCGUCUGGAACUGGAUAGAGCUGGCGGUUGGACUCUACUGAGAAUGUACUAAACACCACUGAAUUGUUCACUUUAAAAUGGUUCAUAGGAUGACUUUUACAUUAUGUGAAUUUUACCACAUGAAAAGAAUCCUGAUUUCUGGGCCCAUCCCAAACCACUGAAAUCCAGGUGUCUGGGGGUGGGGUCCAGGCAUCAGGACUCACAGCUCCCAGGAGAGUCCAGCGCGCAGCGGGGGCUGCGAUCACUGGGGUCCAGGGCCCAGUUAAAGUGUGUGGGUUCGUCAGGGUCGGUGAUGUUUGCACAGUUCUAGGGCCGAAUAACACAUAUAACAAUUAAAGACUGCUAUUUAUGACAUCUAGAGCUCCUCCAAAUAAAGCACAGACAAUCUAGAUGUGUCCAAAUGUGCGAAUAAUCUUUGAACCAGGCAAUCACGGGACAGGAAAUCUUUAAAAAAUAAAAAAAAAGCAAAUGAGAAGAGGUUCCACUUUACCAGGAGUCAGGAAAUAAAAGUGAAAGUAACAGUGACUUGCUACUUUUCAUUUGUCAGCUCGGCAAUAAUUUGAAAAACAAAACACCCAGCGAAAGGGCCCUCCCGUGUGUCGUUAGUGGGGCUGUGACAACUUAGUGCCUUUUUAACGUGACAGUGCGCGUUUGACACCUCACAUCCGGGACUCCACUCCACAGAAAGCUGGUUCCUGAAGAGUUGUUUAUGGCGUCAGCAAAAGAACCUGGAAAAGUCCCGCGUGCCCUCCAAGGCGGCAUGACUAACGGCUGGAGCGCACACAGCAUGGGGCGUGACGCAGCUCUGAAAGACUAUGAGUUAGACAGCUCUAUCCACCUGGAGGAGUUCCAUGUUGUACACACUGCCAAGUUAAAAGAAAGACGAAAAGCAAAUUUUAAAGAAGAAAAGGCCUCCUGUGUGAGGCUUCUCUCUCUGUCCUCUCCUCUUGCCCUUUUGCCGUGUUCCUGUCACACCUGGGAUUCCUGGAACAGGCACGCUCCGCCACCCCUCGGCAGCUUGCCCACGCCGUCCCAGGUGCCUGGGAUGCAGUCCCCAGCUUGCCGCCUUGCUAGUUCCUACCUAAGGCUCACAUUAAGAAGAUAGCUCCUCCUCUGGGGAGCCCUCCCUGACUGCCCGUCCCCUGGGCUUCCCUCUGCCCGGCCCUUACCAUGUUGUGCUGUCAUCCUUUGCCUUUUGGCCUAGUGGCUCCUUGUGGGGAGGGGUCUGUGUUUUGGUCACUCUUGAACGCUCUGUACCCAGCACCAGGCCUGGCGAGGCAGCUGGGGCCGGGGAGGUGGCGGAAUUGACAUGGGACUGAAGGCAAUAUGUGGCCUCAAGGGGCUAGGAUGACCACUGGAAUCGGGCUGUGGGCGAGGAGGUCAGAAACUUUCUUGUCUGCUUCCCCCGGGCUCCGUCUUAGGAAAUGUCCAUCUAUUUAAAAGGGAUGGGCCUAAUGUGAUAUUCUUUGUCAGCAAACUAUUUUGAAUGAACCAUUAUGCACUUUCCAGUUCUUUCAAGGUGUUAGAACUAGGGUGGCCAGCGUGUCCUGGUUUGCCUGGGACUGAAGUCCCUCGUCCCCGGCAGAGCCCAACAGUUGUCCCCCGCGUCUGAGUUGCCAGGGGAGCUCUCGUGUCCUUCUCCCCUACAGUCCAGCUCACUGUGUGAGGUGUGCGGUCAGCUGGAAGGAGCUUUCUAGGGUAGCAGGGUCCAGGGUACUGGCAUGGCCCAGUCUGGCUGGGUCCUGCCACUUGUAGCGAGUCAUCUCAAGCAACUUAUUUAACUCCAUGAGCCUAGUUUCCUAACGCACAAAAUGGGCACAAAAGUCCUAAAGCAGGUUGAUGAGAAUUUUCAGUGUGAUGACAUGAACAAAGCCCCUGGGGCGAGAUGGUCAUAGUGAGAACUGCCUCCCAGCGGGCAGACCAUGGCCGGCCUUAGGAGCCGACAUGACUCUUGUUUACAGAAGUGAGGACUGAGGCUCUGGGGCUAAGCUACCCCAGGUUACAGGGCCUGUGUCUGUUUCUGACAGGCCACGCGGCAGUCUCCGGGUACUGAGGUUCCUCAGCUCUGGGUGUGGUCUGGGAUCCGGACAGCCCGUCCACUUUCUCUCGGACCAGGCCUCCCCACAGUUGUUGGACCAUCAUGCUAGGGAGCCCCGACUGGAUCCUCUGGCCCAGGGCAGUGGGAACAGCCAGCAAAGCCAGCAGCCCCCUGGCUGCUCAUGCUACACGGCCCGGGGCUUCCUCAGUCAGAGCUGGGAGAAUCAAGGGACCCGGGGAGGUGCCCUGGGCUUCCAUUCAUUACACAGUGAUUCCUCCAUGUGUUAAUUCACACAGGCAUGCCCUUACCAUCUUUGCACCUCCAAGGGAGGGAGAGCCCCAUCAGUGAACACACCCGUGCUGGGAGGGAGGGAGGAGCACCCAGGACUACUGUGGCAGGCGGCGAAGGCUUCCUGGAGGAUGCAUCUGAACUAAGCCUGGAAAGACUGGCUGUGAGGCUGGGUGGGAAAGCCACGGCAGCAUUCCAGCAGGAAGGCCAGUGAGCAGGGCCAGGAGGCCAGGGCCAGUUUGACAGAGCUUGGGAGCGCUUGGCAGGGGAGUGGAGGAGGAGGUCUUAGGAAGUGCUGCAGGCAUCCUGGAAGCCAGGAGCAGUCGCUGGAGGGUUCUGAGGAGCAGGCAGCAGCCAGCUUUGUGGCUAGGGAGGCGCGUGCAGCGGGGAUUACCAGGGACACAAGCGGUCCAGGCAAGGGAUGGCAAAGGCUGCGAGCAGGGCGUGGCCUGGUCUCUGUUGUCCCGUGUCCCUACACACUGCACUCUGUCCUCAUCGGCUCCCCAAGUGGUCCCUGAGAGUGGGCCUGUGCCAGGUGGCUCCUUGGCAUGCCUUGGACAUCACAGACUGUUGAUGGGAUGAUGGUGGCUCGGGAAGGGGCUCAGUGACUGACUGAUGGGACCUAG
ensembl:lncRNA